rnacentral:lncRNA from 1 species
GGUGCCAGCCCUACGUUGACUUUUGUGCAGAGUGCAGGAGGAGCUGUGGAAAUGGCCGAGCAGAGUGCCGUGACAGAAAACGCACAAAACGUGCAGUCCAUCCAGUCGGUGCCACUGGAAAAGAAACGGGAUUUUUUAGAUUUUGUGCUCCCUUCUUUUGGGCACUACGACGAGGUGCUGAGGAGAAAAAUACAAAUAAAUGGCGCUGUGCGCCGUGCCAUAGUGGACAAGCUCUUUGCCGCAUAUAUCAAGAUCGCAUGGAAUCAUGGGUGAUGGCCCUGAGGAACAAGUUCCAACAACACAAGAAAAAAGCUA